GGGUGGGUGGGGGUGUGUGUGUGUGUGUGUGUGUGUGUGUGCGCGCGCGCGUCCACCUAAAGC
rnacentral:miRNA from 1 species